rnacentral:rRNA from 1 species
AUUGAACGCUGGCGGCAGGCCUAACACAUGCAAGUCGAACGGUAGCACAGAGAGCUUGCUCUGGGGGAUUAGUGGCGAACGGGUGAGUAACACGUGAGUAACCUGCCCUGGACUCUGGGAUAACCUCGAGAAAUCGGAGCUAAUACCGGAUAGGACCUUGCACCGCAUGGUGUGGGGUGGAAAGUUUUUCGGUUUGGGAUGGACUCGCGGCCUAUCAGCUUGUUGGUGAGGUAAUGGCUCACCAAGGCGUCGACGGGUAGCCGGCCUGAGAGGGUGACCGGCCACACUGGGACUGAGACACGGCCCAGACUCCUACGGGAGGCAGCAGUGGGGAAUAUUGCACAAUGGGCGCAAGCCUGAUGCAGCAACGCCGCGUGCGGGAUGACGGCCUUCGGGUUGUAAACCGCUUUUAGUAGGGAAGAAGCCUUCGGGUGACGGUACCUGCAGAAAAAGGACCGGCUAACUACGUGCCAGCCGCCGCCGUAA